rnacentral:lncRNA from 1 species
GGCUCCACAUGUUUGUCUACGUGGCUGAGCAUAAUGAAGGACCUUAAAACUCACUGUUUCGUCCUAACAUUUCCCCAAUUCUUAUCCCCCAAUUUUUUCCCCAGCAAAAUCCCCAAUUCAGUAUUCUAGGGUUUCUAAUUUCUAUUUUGCCUUUAAAACCUAGGGUUUUCCUGUUCCUCUCAUGGCAAGUCUAAAUAGAAGGGGCAUCGUCAAGAUCUUCUGUUGUCAACAAUUGAUAGUAUUUAUGUGGGAGUGAAGUAGCAUUUUAUGAAUUUGAAAGACCAGCGAAGCUGAUGAUAUGAAGGAGAACGAAAAAUUUCGGGUGUCUGUGACGAGGUUGCUCUUACAUUGGGGUAAGCUUUGUUAGCAAUGUUAGGAUUUAGUAGUUUUAUUUUGAAAGAUUGAACAAUGUAUGAUGAUUUCGUUUCAAUUUGGUCAUGUAGGGGUGGAGUUGUGUUUUGUUUAGCUGUCAUGACGAUUGGAUGAAUGAGAAGAAGUUUGGCAAUUGGGGCGGAAUUGUGCUCUUGCACUGACGAUUGUACAAAAUGUGAAGGAACAUUUGAUGCUUUUCAAGUUCGGUUUCUGUGGUAUGGUUGAACAUUGUAAUGAAUGAUUGUGAAGCUGGAAAAGUCAUGACAGAGAAGUUUGAUGAAGGAAAGUUUGAUGUUUGAUAAUCAGUUUGUGCUUGUUUUUGCCAUACAGGCUUUAUGGUUGAUGUAGCAAGGUGUAGGAUUUGGUUUUGUAGUAGAUGGGUGGGUUGAAUCUUGUAAUCAAUGGUGAAUUGUAUUACCAACUUUUAUAAUUGAUUAUGCAAUGAAGCUC